UUAGGAAUAAAAAUGAAUCGUUUCUACAAAAGAAGAAUAUAUACUUUUCUCUCUCUAAACGACAUCGUUUUCCAGGUCAAUCGUUCCAGACAGGCUGCCUCUGCAAAGGAUCGGAACCCAUGACAUCGUUAUCCAUCCCUCCUCAAAUUACCGUGAAGAGUCCUUCAGCAGGGGAAACUAGAAAAACGUAUACAAUCUGCGCAUCUCAGAAAUCUUCAAUUCUGAUCGGAAUCGGACGGUCCUCUACAUUAAGGAAUUUCUCCUCGCGGUUCCGCAUGAGUGUGGAUAAUGGAGGCUCUAAUCGGAUUGGUGCUGGAGAUGCCGUGAUCAUCGUCGACCAUGGCUCUCGCCGCCGGGAAUCUAACCUCAUGCUGAAUGAAUUCGUUGCUAUGUUUAGGGAUAAAACUGGUUACCCUAUUGUGGAACCUGCUCACAUGGAGUUGGCCGAACCGUCGAUAAGAGACUCAUUUGCAUCGUGUGUCGAACAGGGGGCCAAACGUAUCGUUGUAAGCCCAUUCUUUCUCUUCCCCGGUCGACACUGGCAACAGGACAUUCCUUCCUUAACAGCUGAAGCAGCAAAGGAUCACCCGGGAAUAUCGUAUAUAAUAACUGCUCCUCUCGGUCUUCAUGAACAGCUUGUGGAUGUUGUGAAUGAUAGAAUAAGUCACUGCUUAAGCCAUGCUGCUGGAGUUGUAGAAGAAUGUGAAGUCUGUGCAGGAACAGGCAAAUGCAAAUUUAAUUGACUUGGGAUGAAGGGCCUAUAACAAUGUGGAGAAGCUUCAGAAGGGGAUAAAAAGGGUUUCCAGAUUGUUUUUUAACUGGAGGCUCGAGCAACGCCGACGUUGUUUGUGAAGUCUGAAUUUCUCACGGCUGACUUGUUCAUUGGGUUAAAACAAAUGUCACACAAUUGUUGUCUUGCUGCUGUAAAAGUGCGAUUGUGAUAAGUGCUCAUAGUUUUCAAAAUACAUUUUCAAAUUUAGCGUAUGAAAUACAAUCUAUCUAUCAUCAAAAAUCUGUUUUACUCAAUUUCAAACUCGACAAAACUUUUCCUCUGUUU